rnacentral:rRNA from 1 species
ACCUGGCGGCGAGUGGCGAACGGGUGAGUAAUAUAUCGGAACGUACCCUGGAGUGGGGGAUAACGUAGCGAAAGUUACGCUAAUACCGCAUACGAUCUAAGGAUGAAAGUGGGGGAUCGCAAGACCUCAUGCUCCUGGAGCGGCCGAUAUCUGAUUAGCUAGUUGGUGGGGUAAAGGCCUACCAAGGCAUCGAUCAGUAGCUGGUCUGAGAGGACGACCAGCCACACUGGAACUGAGACACGGUCCAGACUCCUACGGGAGGCAGCAGUGGGGAAUUUUGGACAAUGGGCGAAAGCCUGAUCCAGCAAUGCCGCGUGAGUGAAGAAGGCCUUCGGGUUGUAAAGCUCUUUUGUCAGGGAAGAAACGGUGGGUUCUAAUACAGCCUGCUAAUGACGGUACCUGAAGAAUAAGCACCGGCUAACUACGUGCCAGCAGCCGCGGUAAUACGUAGGGUGCAAGCGUUAAUCGGAAUUACUGGGCGUAAAGCGUGCGCAGGCGGUUUUGUAAGUCUGUCGUGAAAUCCCCGGGCUCAACCUGGGAAUGGCGAUGGAGACUGCAAGGCUAGAGUUUGGCAGAGGGGGGUAGAAUUCCACGUGUAGCAGUGAAAUGCGUAGAUAUGUGGAGGAACACCGAUG